rnacentral:rRNA from 1 species
AAGCGGUGGAGUAUGUUGUUUAAUUCGAAGAUACACGAGAACCUUACCAGGUCUUGACAUACCAUUGACAGGUCUAGAGAUAGACUCUCCUUCGGGCAAUGGAUACAGGUGGUGCAUGGUUGUCGUCAGCUCGUGCCGUGAGGUGUUGGGUUAAGUCCCGCAACGAGCGCAACCCUCAUUGUUAGUUACUACCAUUCAGUUGAGGACUCUAAUGAGACUGCCAACGACAAGUUGGAGGAAGGUGGGGAUGACGUCAAAUCAUCAUGCCCUUUAUGACCUGGGCUACAAACGUACUACAAUGGCCAAUACAAAGAGAUGCGAAGCGGUGACGUGGAGCGAACCUCAGAAAGUUGGUCUCAGUUCAGAUUGAAGUCUGCAACUCGACUUCAUGAAGGCGGAAUCGCUAGUAAUCGCGGGUCAGCAGACCGCGGUGAAUACGUUCCCGGGUUUU